GAAAAAAAUGGUUGAUAAAAAGACUCGAUGCAAAGUCAGAAUUCGAACCAAAGAGAAAGGUUAUGCCUAGACUUGCAGUCAUAAAGGUAGUUUACUUUUUGCAUUAACCUAAACAAAACCACUGGAGAAGAGCUGCACAUCCAUACCCUGCACAUGGAAUGUUCCUGGUCGUGCAGUUAAGCCCAUAGGAAACCAAAACUACCAGCUACAGCAACAGAGCAGGUAGCCAUAUCACAUCCCGACACAUAUGAUCCCCGUCACACUUGUGAUAGGGUUUUUGAUAUUCAAGAGUCUCUUCACCAUCUAAGAAACCUGAAAGAUGUUUUUCCCAAUACAGCAGCCUUGAACGCACCUGUGUCUGAGUCAGUAACAAGCUUGUCCACUUCCAGGCCAUCUCUUUUGAGGUUCUCCAGACUCUCAGAACAGUAUGCUUGUUCAUUACCAAUCGACGUGGCUAGAGGUUUAUUCUGACUUACCUCAGUGGUUCAUCCUUGGCCUCGGAGUAGGACGGAGCAGUCUAUGAGAAGAUGUCAGAUUUACAGGUGAGGACUUUUUGGCAUUCACAACCUGGUCUUGUAAUUCCCUUAGUAACCGUACUGUUGGGACUUGGUCCAUGUCAGAAUGAAUCCAUCUCUCAAUUUUCUCCCCUUUUUUUGUAGUACGGGUCUCUCCCUUUCUCAAACCGUCCGGCAUUUUUCUUAGGACUCACCAUUUUUUGGGGUUCCAAAAUCCUCUUUCCCUUUGCAAAAAUCUGUCUCUGGUAUGUUUCAGUGGCUGAUCAUUGAUCCUUUUAUACACAGAAGUAUCCAAUCAGAAGUUUACUGAAAGGAAACCCAUCAAUUAAGGUCAAGCUGAACACUUGACUGGCAGACA